AAGUCCGAGUUGUAUUCUAUAGAAGUGUUUUCCUUUGAGUACCGAGAUACAAGUCUUCUGGAAAGAAGCAUCAUAGAGGGUGAGAAUCCCGUCCAUGAUCUCGAGUGGCUUGAUUUUGUGAUACACUUUCUACGAGUCAGGUUGUUUGGGAAUGCAGCCUAAAAUGGGUGGUAAAUUUCAUCUAAAGCUAAAUAUUGGCGAGAGACCGAUAGCGAACAAGUACCGUGAGGGAAAGAUGAAAAGAACUUUGAAAAGAGAGUUAAACAGUACGUGAAAUUGUUGAAAGGGAAACGUUUGAAACCAGUCAGUUUGCUUGUAAUCAAUCUAUUCUUUGGGAUGGAUGCACUUGCAAGUUUACUUGUCAAUGUCAGUUUGAUGGGUUGGAAAAAGACCUUUGAAAUGUGGCUAUCUUCGGGUAGUGUUUAUAGUCAUUGGUGAAAUACAACCUAUUGGACUGAGGAAUGCAGUUGAAAUGUCGGCCUUUACGUGUUUAGUUUGAGGGGUUAUUAGACAAUUUAUUGACUAGUAAUCAUUAAAAUUAAUAGCGUAUUUGGCUUCUAAUCAGCUUAGGUCAUUGACUUAAUGGUUUUAAAUGACCCGUCUUGAAACACGGACCAAGGAGUCUAACAUAUAUGCGAGUGUUUGAGUGGCAAACUCACACGCGUAAUGAAAGUGAAUGUGGGUGCGAAUCCUUACGGAGGCAGCAUCGGCCGACUCUGAGGUUUUUAACUGACGAGUUUGAGCAAAAGCAUAUCUGUUGGGACCCGAAAGAUGGUGAACUAUGCCUGAAUAGGGUGAAGUCAGAGGAAACUCUGAUGGAGGCUCGUAGCGAUUCUGACGUGCAAAUCGAUCGUCAAAUUUGGGUAUAGGGGCGAAAGACUAAA
rnacentral:rRNA from 1 species